rnacentral:pre_miRNA from 1 species
CUUACUAGAUGAAACUGGUUUUCAUAGUGGUUUCGUAAAUAUUUUAAUUGUGAGAUCACUGUGAAAACUAAUUUUGUCGA